GGAGAACCUGUGGCUGGAUCACCUCCUUUCUAGAGUCACUCUCGGUUCUGCCUCUCAUGACAGAGCUCGAGACACUCGAGGUCGAUCGUCUGGUAGCCGGCGCCGAAAGGCGGCCGGCAAGCACUCUACUCAGUUUUGAAGGCAUCGGGUCUUCCCCGCGAGGGGGGAGCCUUUGUUCUUUGAUCAUCACCGAAGCGUCCCACUGGGCCUAUAGCUCAGUUGGUUUAGAGCACACGCCUGAUAAGCGUGGGGUCGGUAGUUCGAAUCUACCUAGGCCCACCACUUUAGGUUCUGGGUGGCAUUCGCAACCUUACGUGGGGCUGUAGCUCAGCUGGGAGAGCGGCGGCUUUGCAAGCCGUAGGUCGGCGGUUCGAUUCCGCUCAGCUCCACCAAUACGUGGUUCGGUGAAAUCGGACGGGUACCGAGGAUGAAAUGGCUCUCUGAACGACUCAGAGGGCUUUUUGAUCCGCGGUGAUCGCGAUCUUUGACAAGAGAGUCGGGUAGAAAACGAAAGAAAGAUUCGCGUCUUAGGUAUUUUAUGGUCAAGCUACUAAGGGUGGAC
rnacentral:tRNA from 1 species